ACCUAGUAUCAAUCGCUUCUUUUAUUGACGGUGGCUGCGCUUCUUCGGGUGAUCCUGUCGUUAGAUGUUGCUGCGGCUUUCUAAUAUCUAGCUGCUGGAAAAAUUUCAGUUUUGCCGGCGGAGCCGGCACAACGAGAUCAGCAAAACAACUAAAGAUUGGAAGUGUGUUCUGGACUUUUCACCAAGAUUUCAUCGAAGAGGUGUUGCUGCAGGCGUUGCUCAAUGUAGUGGAAGCAGGAGAAAGCAGAGGGAGGAGACCGGGGCAGACUAGAGCUGCAAUUUCUUCGGUAGCUUGACGAUGGCGAUGUGUUGGAGUUCUUCUCUUCUUCCCAGUCGAUCCAGAUCUGCCCCUAGGAACGCCCUCGACCUUGCUUUCCCCUUUCUCUCCCCUUUUCUUGGAUCCAAAGCCAGAACGAAGCAUCUAAUGGAGAGGUGCUGCUUUUUGUGGGACGAUGGAGAGGAGUCGGUGGCCACGUGACUGUCUUUUUUACUGUUCGGUCCUUCUCUUAUUCUCUCUUUUCUUCUUCUUUCUUCAAUCUGAGUACUUUUGGUGCAAAGUCGAUGCCAACAAGGUCCUUGCAAAGCUAAUGUACUUGUUUGAUUCCUCACGCAAACCCCAGGAAUUGAAGAAUAAGUGCCUUGUCGCAUUGAAAUGCAAAAAGAUAGCAUCUGCUGUAAAGUACUUCUUUUGCCGGUUUA